UACGGAGGAUGCGAGCGUUAUCCGGAUUUAUUGGGUUUAAAGGGUGCGUAGGCGGAUUUUUAAGUCAGCGGUAAAAUGUCCGGGCUCAACCCGGGCCGGCCGUUGAAACUGGGGAUCUUGAGUGGGCGAGAAGUAUGCGGAAUGCGUGGUGUAGCGGUGAAAUGCAUAGAUAUCACGCAGAACUCCGAUUGCGAAGGCAGCAUACCGGCGCCCGACUGACGCUGAGGCACGGAAGCGUGGGGAUCGAACAGG
rnacentral:rRNA from 1 species